rnacentral:rRNA from 1 species
UACGGAGGGUGCGAGCGUUGUCCGGAAUCAUUGGGCGUAAAGAGCGUGUAGGCGGCCGUACAGGUCAGCUGUGAAAACUCGAGGCUCAACCUCGAGACGUCGGUUGAAACCGUACGGCUAGAGUCCGGAAGAGGAGAGUGGAAUUCCCGGUGUAGCGGUGAAAUGCGCAGAUAUCGGGAAGAACACCCGUGGCGAAGGCGGCUCUCUGGGACGGUACUGACGCUGAGACGCGAAAGCGUGGGGAGCGAACAGG